rnacentral:rRNA from 1 species
UGGGGAAUUUUGGACAAUGGGCGAAAGCCUGAUCCAGCAAUGCCGCGUGUGUGAAGAAGGCCUUCGGGUUGUAAAGCACUUUUGUCCGGAAAGAAAUCCUUGGCUCUAAUACAGUCGGGGGAUGACGGUACCGGAAGAAUAAGCACCGGCUAACUACGUGCCAGCAGCCGCGGUAAUACGUAGGGUGCAAGCGUUAAUCGGAAUUACUGGGCGUAAAGCGUGCGCAGGCGGUUUGCUAAGACCGAUGUGAAAUCCCCGGGCUCAACCUGGGAACUGCAUUGGUGACUGGCAGGCUAGAGUAUGGCAGAGGGGGGUAGAAUUCCACGUGUAGCAGUGAAAUGCGUAGAGAUGUGGAGGAAUACCGAUGGCGAAGGCAGCCCCCUGGGCCAAAUACUGACGCUCAUGCACGAAAGCGUGGGGAGCAAAACAGGAUUAGAUACCCUGGUAGUCCACGCCCUAAAACGAUGUCAACUAGUUGUUGGGGAUUCAUUUCCUUAGUAACGUAGCUAACGCGUGAAGUUGACCGCCUGGGGAGUACGGUCGCAAGAUUAAAACUCAAAGGAAUUGAC